rnacentral:rRNA from 1 species
UAGGGAAUCUUCCGCAAUGGACGCAAGUCUGACGGAGCAACGCCGCGUGAGUGAAGAAGGAUUUCGGUUCGUAAAACUCUGUUGUUAGAGAAGAACAGCGCAUAGAGUAACUGUUAUGCGUGUGACGGUAUCUAACCAGAAAGCCACGGCUAACUACGUGCCAGCAGCCGCGGUAAUACGUAGGUGGCAAGCGUUGUCCGGAUUUAUUGGGCGUAAAGCGAGCGCAGGCGGUUUAAUAAGUCGAAUGUUAAAGAUCGGGGCUCAACCCCGUAAAGCAUUGGAAACUGAUAAACUUGAGUAGUGGAGAGGAAAGUGGAAUUCCUAGUGUAGUGGUGAAAUACGUAGAUAUUAGGAGGAAUACCAGUAGCGAAGGCGACUCUCUGGUCUGUAACUGACGCUGAGGCUCGAAAGCGUGGGUAGCAAACAGG